rnacentral:rRNA from 1 species
CCUACGGGAGGCAGCAGUCGAGAAUCAUUCACAAUGGGGGAAACCCUGAUGGUGCGACGCCGCGUGGGGGAAUGAAGGUCUUCGGAUUGUAAACCCCUGUCAUGUGGGAGCAAAUUAAAAAGCUAGUACCACAAGCGGAAGCGACGGCUAACUCUGUGCCAGCAGCCGCGGUAAUACAGAGGGCUCAAGCGUUGUUCGGAAUCACUGGGCGUAAGGCGUGCGUAGGCUGUUUCGUAAGUCGUGUGUGAAAGGCGCGGGCUCAACCCGCGGACGGCACAUGAUACUGCGAGACUAGAGUAAUGGAGGGGGAACCGGAAUUCUCGGUGUAGCAGUGAAAUGCGUAGAUAUCGAGAGGAACACUCGUGGCGAAGGCGGGUUCCUGGACAUUAACUGACGCUGAGGCACGAAGGCCAUGGGAGCGAAAGGGAUUAGAUACCCCUGUAGUC